GAUGAAGAACGUAGUGAAAUGCGAUAAGUAAUGUGAAUUGCAGAAUUCAGUGAACCAUCGAAUCUUUGAACGCACAUUGCGCCCGGCAGUAAUCUGCCGGGCAUGCCUGUCCGAGCGUCAUUUCUCCCCUCGAGCGCAGCUUUCCCCCCCGGGGGAGGGCCGCGCCCGGUGUUGGGGCGCUACGGAGGAGCCCAGCGCUCCCCCGUAGGCCCCGAAAUGUAGUGGCGGUCCCGCCGCGGCGCCCCCUGCGUAGUAGUUUUACAACUCGCAUCGGGUCCCGGCGGAGGCCAGCCGUCAAACCCCCCAACUUCAAUAGUUUGACCUCGGAUCAGGUAGGGUUACCCGCUGAACUUAAGCAUAUCAAUGAGCGGAGGA
rnacentral:misc_RNA from 1 species